UUUGUCGGGGAUAUUGGUCACCGGAUUUAAGACCGCUUUAUAUUUCUCCCUUGCCCCCCGCUUAUGUUCUCAAGGGCGCCAUGGGAGAGGAGGAGGCCGCGAGGAGGGAGGCCGCGUUGGCUGCAACGCCACUCCUCCAACCCAAUUUCAGAUCUUCGAAGGUUACCCAGUCUCGCCUCGACAAGUUCCGGGAACUGCACAAUAAACGAUUGUUGUUAAAAGAAAAAACAAAGGAUAAAGCAAAAUCUAAAGGGAAUGCUGGUAGGAAUGUGAAGAUGUGCUUGGAGGAGGUUGACAUUAAGGAUGGUAAAGAUGUAUCUGCGUCUGGUGUCACUGAAGAUUCAAAUAUUUCCAAUUUAAAGGAAAAUACGUGCUUGGUAGAAAAAGCUAAUCCAGACUCAAAGAAGAGACGGAAGUUACAUUGGGGGCAUCAAAAUUCAUGUCUAUAUGAAUGAUUGCUGUGCAUCUACAUUGGCUGCUGCACUAGUUGGACAUGGAAAAGCAUUACUUGAUGAAUGUUUAAGAGGAGAAAACAGCAUACAAGAAUUGUUGCUGAAGCAAGCAUGAUCAAAGUUGUAGAUUAAAGUUCAAUGUGGACUUGAAUUACUGCCAAGAGUUAGGCCUUGUUAGUGUAGUUGGAAUUAGUAUUUAUAUGUCUUCAUUGGUUCUUGUUAGCCAUCCUAACUGCAAAAUUCUUCUAAUUAACUAGUCUUAGUUUCGUAGUGUCGACAUUAACGGGUAGCAUCAUAAUAAAUUUUGGUGAUGUUGAAGGCAUCAACAGUUUGAACAACAUUACAAGAAAAAUUUUACACCAUAUAUCUUGGUAAAAUAGGUACGUUCUUAGGGUUGCGAUGGCCUGGUCUAUUGAAGGAAUCGAUUACUGAUCUUCCACAAGAGAUUUAAUUUGUUGGAAUUCAAUGCAUGGAAACUCCUAUCAACCUAAACAUGAUUGUGGUGAAAGUUGUGAAAGUUAAAAGAAUAUCAAUAGAACCACAAAGGGGAAUAACUUGGUGAUUUCUCAUUCAUGUUUUAACUUAAUAAUUACUACCACUCUUGUGCUCAUGUGAUGUAUGUGAGAGAAAGCAUGGAUUGAUGUGAUCUAUCUUUUAAAGGUAUUUUCUAUCAUUUGUGUAACUUGAUAGAUACAUUCCUGCUUUCGGCUGGUGGCACCUAUCUUGUUUAUCACCUUUUGACUGCGAGAAAAUAACCAUGAUAAGUAUGUAUUUAAGGUGGGGAGUAUCUUUAGAGAUGUGAGUUGAGGAGAGGAGAGAUGCAUGGAAUUGGUGGUCAGGUUACCACUCAAAGCAUCUGCAACAGUUUCACUAAGAAACAGGUGUUCCAUAUGGUAGAAUGUUAUUAAUCAGCUCUCAAUGUCCCGAAACAACUCAUAAAUAUGUCAUGAUUCAUAUCCCUUCGUAUCAAGACAUAAUGUCAUGAUACAUAUCCUUCCCUAUCUCAAAUGUAUAUUGGGUUUGCUCACCUAUUGACAUCGGAUGAAGCUUGUAUUCAAACAAAUUGGCACUUGGAAAUUGGAUUUACUAUAUUCAGUGUCAAAAUUAAGUAAUCUGCCAUGGCACAUACUGUUUGUAAACUUUUGUGGUUAGAGUUGCUCCUACAAAGAUGAAUUCUUUAUUUAGGACCUUAGGUUCUCAUGCAGAUCAACUACCAGAUGUUCAGAAAGGCUUUCAAGAUGGCAUAACUAUGAAAUUUUGUUCAGAACUUGUGUACUUUUAUGAGGCCUUUGAUUAGUUGUGUACUUUUGUAAGGCUGUUUACUAACUUGUGUUUUACUGAUUUGUUUUCUUUCUGCUAUGCACUCAUGCAAAUUGAUUUUCUAGCCUGUAUUUUAUGGGAUCCAAAACUUUAAAGGCUAUGAUCUCUAAGCUUGCAAGUUGGACAGCAAUGAUUUUUUCUCUAGUGAAGGACUGCUCCACAUGGUGGUGGUUGAAUUUGGGAGAUGACUGAUUCUUUUGACCCACUUGGUGUCCCAUUUAAAUGCAUCAAAGUCCCAUUGUUUGAUAAAGAAGAAAAAAGAAGGGAAGGAGGAACGAGUUACCUUCCUACAAGCUUCUGUUGCACAGAUUUGGGCUAAUGAUGGCCAAAUGUGGAGUAGGAGGACAACAAGAUUCCCUUUUGCCGAUCCUUCUCUCCCAUUGGAAACUUAGAAAAAAAAAUUAAAGAAAAAUGCUACUGACCCAUGCUUAAUAGGUACCAGGCUGAACCAGCAAGUGCCAGUAAGUACUGCUUGACACCGGAGUGUCCUCAGCAAAAGAUAGUAACAUCCUCUGUUUUGGGUCAACUUUGACCUCAAAAUUGAAUCAUUCUAGAAGUCCGUAUAGUGUGGGCCAUAUAUGGUUGGAAAGCUUUAUGAGUCUAGUUUUCAAUGCAUCAAACCGUUCGUAAUUUGGGGCUUUCUAGGAGUUACGAGUGUUUUACUAAAGCACAAUCUUUCUAUCCCACUUUGACUGCUAUUACGAGUAUUUCUUGGGAAUUAAGUGUCUUUAAUCAUUUUCUUAUAUUUCCUAAGUGUGUUUAAUGUCUUAUUAAUUUCUUUCUUGGGAACCUAAGGCUGAGGGAUGUUCUGGUUUCUAUAAAUCCAUGUAAUUGCAGAACUUGAAAGUAGAAUAUUGAAUACCAAAAAUUAAUCUGUUUUAUUUUCAAGAAGUGGAUUUCUUCUAGCUUCAACUCAUUGGUGGAAUUCUUUUGAGGAUAAGCAUCUUAGCUUCAACUCUUUGGUGGAUUCCAUUGAGGUCAAGCUUGCUUUAUUGCCCAUUUGGUGGAUUUCUUGGGCGGGGGGGUGUCCUAUCUUGGUUCACUUGUGCUAUCUCCUGGUUCUUUGCUCAUUUUUCGAUGUCAGUUUGGUAUCAGAGCUUUAGAUUGAUGGCUCCACGUCGUCGCAACCAGAACGCCAGAGAACCAGCUGAAAGAGAUCUUCGUGAUAUCGAGAUGGACGAAUUAAGGAGACAAGUGCAGCAACUUCAGAAUUGCCUGUAGCACAUUAAAAAUACAAACCAUGCUGAUCAUGUUCUAGAUGUAGGUGGUCCCGAUGAAGAGGAUGAAAAUCUUUUUCAUGAUGCCCACGUUCAAGCCUCAAGUGGAGAUGAUUCCCGAUGCCAUCCAGCUGUAAGGAACCGAAAUUCCCAGCAAGAACUCAACAUCCGAAUUGAUAUUCCAGAAUUUGAAGGGAAAGUUCAUUCGGAAGAAUUCAUCGAUUGGAUUCAUUCUGUUGAAUGUGUUUUUGAUUACAAGGAUGUUGCUGAACAUCAGAAGGUGAAGUUAGUAGCUAUUAAAUUAAGAAAACAUGCAUCCAUUUGGUGGGAACAUUUGAAGAAACAGCGAGCUCGUGAUGGUAAGAGCAGAAUUGUUACUUGAGAGAAGACGAAGGAGUUGAAGAAGUUCUUACCUGAAUAUUACUGUCAAGAUAUCUUUCUCAAAUUAUACAAUCUCAAACAAAAAGAGCUCUCUGUAGAAGAUUACACAGCUGAGUUUGAUAAUCUUUCAAUACUUUAUGACCUUUAUGAACCAGAAGAGCAAAAGAUUGCUUGUUAUCUUGGAGGAUUUCGAUCUGAAAUCUGCAAUAUGGUUCAGUUACAGUCCUAUUGGACAUACAAUGAUAUGUCCAAGCUUGCCUUCAAGGUGGAGAAGCAGCUCAAGGAAGCAAAAGGAAGUCAAUCUCGACCAUGGUUGAAAGUUGGAGCACCAAACCAAGGGAGCACUUCAAUCGCCAAACCAAUUUCAGCAAAUAAGUCCAAUACAUCUCAGCUACCUGCAAGGAAUGAAUCAGCAGCCCCAACUCGUCAAGGUACUUCUCAGUCCAAUGUUCGUAAAUGUUACAAGUGCCAAGGAAUUGGUCAUAUUGCUUUCGAUUUUCCAAACCGAAGGGUAGUAACUCUUAUUGGAGAAGGAGAUGAUGAAGGAAAAACUCUAGACCCUCCUAUCUUUGAUGAAGCUGAAGAUGAGGAAGAAGACGUCCCAUAUGGUGAUCAAGAAGAGUUGCUAGUCAUUCAACGAAAUUUGAAUUCUGUUCAUAUGGAAAAGGAUAAUUGGCUUCCCAACAAUAUUUUUCAUACUUGUUGCAUCUCUCAUGACAAGGUGUGUGAUGUUAUUAUUGAUGGUGGAAGUUGUGAGAAUGUGGUGGCUACAAAAAUGGUGGACAAGCUGAACCAUAAAACUGUGGCUCAUUCUUAACCAUACAAGCUAUCAUGGCUAUACAAAGGAAAUGAGGUAAGGGUUGAUAAAAAAUGUCUUGUUCAAUUGUCUAUUGGAAAGAGGUAUAAGGACGAGAUAUGGUGUGAUGUGGUGCCUAUAGAUGCUUGCCAUCUGCUCCUUGAACGUCCUUGGCAAUAUGACAGAAAAGUCAUUCAUGAUGGCUUCAAAAAUACAUACUCUUUUGUAAAAGAUGGAGUGAAGGUCAUAUUAGGACCUAUAAAGUUGAAUGAUUCUUCUAAGCCUCCACAAGAGAAAGGAGGUAAUUUACUCUCCAAAUCUGAAUUUUAUAAAGUUUAUAAUGAUGAAGAAGAGACCUAUGCUAUUAUUGUCUUAGAAGAGAAUGAAGAAAAGAAGAAAAUUCCUGCUGAUAUGCAGCCAUUGGAGAAUUUCAGGAUGUUGUACCGGAAGAAUUGCCAAUGGGACUGCCACCCAUGAGAGAGAUCCAACAUUGCAUUGAUUUCAUUCCUGGUGCUGCCCUUCCUAAUGAGACAGCCUAUAGAAUGAACCCAAAGGAGCAUGAGGAGCUUCAAAAGCAAGUAGAUGAACUGAUAGUGAAGGAAUUUGUGAAGAAAAGUAUGAGUCCAUGUGCUGUUCCAGCCCUUCUUGUCCUAAAGAAAGAUGGAUUGUGGUGUAUGUGCAUUGAUAGUAGGGCGGUAAACAAAAUUACUGUCAGGUACCGCUUCCCUGUACUACAUCUUGAUGGUUUUCUUGAUCAACUACAUGGUGCUUGCAUAUUCUCCAAGAUUGAUCUUCGCAGCGGGUAUCAUCAAAUCCGGAUGAGGGCAGGUGAUGAAUGGAAGACCGCCUUCAAGACAAGAGAUGGACUUUAUGAGUGGAUGGCUUGACACAAAGGAAAGAUGGGAAAGGAAAGCAAACAUGUAGAUUGUUGAGAAUUAACAUGCCAACUCAAGUAGCAUAAUUGAUACUGUAAAUAACUUUUUUUUAUAAAAAAAUCAGCCAAAAGUUUGUACUUUAAACCUUUGUAAUGGAUCCAAAUUGGAAUUAUUUUUAAGAGAAAUAAUUGAUCUUGAAGCUAUGUCUCAAUUAAGUAUGAUGAUUUUGCUCU